AGCUCUUUAAGCGUAUAUCAAAGAUGUUGCAGUUAAAACGCUCGUAGUCGAAUCUUGGCUGAACUUACGCGGAGUCAGCAAGGAUUCUGCGGUUGAGGAAAGCCUUUGUGGAUUGUGUGCGCGGAGGUGUUUCAUUACACUUCCGUUGUACUGCCACCGUUUACUGUGAAAAAAUUAGAGUGUUCAAAGCAAGCGAUUUGCCCUGAAUACAUUAGCAUGGAGUAAUAGAAUAGGAACUGGUCUUAUUUUGGUUUGUAAAAUUCCAGGUAAUGAUUAACAGGGACGGUUGGGGGAAUUUGUAUUCCGAGGCGAGAGGUGAAAUUCUUAGACCCUCGGAAGACAAACAGCUGCGAAAGCGUGUUCCAAGGACGUUUUAAUUGAUCAAGAACGAAAGUACGCA
rnacentral:rRNA from 1 species